rnacentral:lncRNA from 1 species
CUCCAGGCCAUUUGGUAAUUUUCAGACUCUUCUUGUGACUCAUGAAAAUGACCUAGGAGACAAGGAUGCCUGGACUCCUGCCCUCUCCUAGGCUCUCAAUGCCAUCUCAUCUUCAUCCAACUCACCCUCUUCUGCCUGGCUCUUGUUUUCUUGAGUGCCAUCUGUCCACUUUGCCGUGCCCUCUGGAACCCUCUUUCAUUGUCAAUAUACUCCAUUAUCUACUCCACACCAAGUUUUGCUCUUUUCUGUAUGUUUCCUUAUCUUAGUUAAUGACAACACCAUCUUCCCCCUGCUCUCUAAGUCAUCAUCCCUGAUUACUCCCUCUCAAGUACCCUCCACUUCAAAUUAGUCACCAAUUCCUAUGAAUUCUAUUUCUGAAGUGUCUCACAAAUCUGACACCAUCAUCUCUCCUCUAAGCUGUUAAAAUAACUCCUUGAACACACACCUUUGAAUAUAGUCUGUACUUUAAAAAGUUUUCUAAAUGCAGUGCUUAUUAGUUUUAAUCUUUCCCAAAUGUCUGUGCCAUCAUUCUUGGCUUCACCCCUGCUUGUUUAUAUUCUUCCUGGCUUUAAUCUCAUAUUUGGAUAAAGAUAUUUAAGAUGUUUUUCUAUGCAAUGUUUAUAGUGGGCUGUCUUUUGAAAGACCAAUAGUCAUAGCCUUAAGAAUGCAUUUCAAUUAAUGGAAGGAGAAGAAACUCUCAAGUGUAUUGGAUGAGGGACAAACUGGACUGUUAACAUUUCAACUGAAGAAUUUACAAGUUCUAGCAUAUAAUAAGGAUUCAACAAAUAUUCAAUGAAU